AUAAAUUUCCCAAAAAAAAAUUUAAACCUUCACAUAUCUGUAUAAUGUUUAACUUACCUAGAUUAUUUUUUGCACUCUAUCCGUAAUAUUGAACCAUUCUUUUCUUUUUUGGCUGAAUCCUGAUCUACAACAACUCUUUCUUCACUUCUUUCUACAAAUGGUUGAAUUUCCCAACGAAUGAGAUUUAGAGUCUUGGCUUU
rnacentral:lncRNA from 1 species